UUUAUUCUCUUCAUGGUUUUCUAUACAUUUUAAGACCUUUAUAUCACAUACAAAAGAAAAUGGAUAGAUAUUUUUGGAUAAGAUAAUUGGAUAAGUUAGUGAUUGUGAAGUAAUCCUUUUUCCAUGUAAGCAUUAGCAUUUAAAUAAAGGCAUGAGCAGCAGACCUUGACACCUUUGUAGACGUGAAUGUCUAGAGGAAUACAAACUAGCCUCUUAGUUUGGAGAAACAGUAGGAGUAGACACUUGAUUUCUAGCUAAGAAACAUCAAAGUAGCAGUUUAGAUCUCUUUAAGCAGAAAACCUAACCACCAAAACCAAUCAGAGAUGGUCAAAAGUUGUGUAAGAACUAGGGAAGGUGUUAAGCACCCUAAUUCCCCUUGCCAUCAUGCAUAGUCAACUUUCACUUUGUUAAUUUAUUUUGUUUGAACUUAUUUAAAUUGGUCCUUUUAAUCUUGCCAACAAUACACAUAGUAGCACAACACCAUAUUAAACACAUUCAAAUCACAUAUUUUAUCAAUCACAAUUUAAGAUGAUUAAGUAGAAAUUGGCAAUACUUGAUCAAAA
rnacentral:misc_RNA from 1 species